UGGUUAAAAAGCUCGUAGUUGGAUCUCAACAGCCUUGAAGCGGUUAACUUUGUAGUUUUACUGCUUUAUAGGCUGUGCUUUUGCUGGAGGUUUAGGGGUGCUCUUGAUCGAGUGUCUCUGGAUGCCAGCAGGUUUACUUUGAAAAAAUUAGAGUGCUCAAAGCAGGCUAAAAUGCCUGAAUAUUCGUGCAUGGAAUAAUAGAAUAGGAUGUCGAUCCUAUUUUGUUGGUUUUCGGGACUCGACAUAAUGAUAAAUAGGGACAGUCGGGGGCAUUUGUAUUCAAACGACAGAGGUGAAAUUCUUGGACCGUUUGAAAACAAACUACUGCGAAAGCAUUUGCCAAGAAUGUUUUCAUUAAUCAAGAACGAAAGUUAGAGGUUCGAAGGCGAUUAGAUACCGCCCUAGUUCUAACCAUAAACGAUGCCAGCUAGCGAUCUGCCUGCGUUUUUACUGUA
rnacentral:rRNA from 1 species